rnacentral:lncRNA from 1 species
UUUCUUUAAACCCUAAUUUCAGUUUCAUAUCCUGCCUCUUUCCAUCCUCUAUCUUUUUCUCUUUCUUGUGCGUUCAGUCCUUCAUCUACCUAACCCUUAUCACUAUCCCAUUCCAUCUACAGUCAAUAAGACCCUAUAUAUCUUUGAUUCAUCGAUUGUAACCUUCGAGUUUGGAAUAUAUGAGUAUACAACCCAAGAAAUAAAGAGAGAAGGAGAUGCGAUAGUGGCCAGGAACAGGGGUUAAAGCGAUGUCAGAUCAAUCAUUUAGGGUUCUGACCGAGGAUUUCAAGCGUUGAGCUGUAAUCCGGGUUCUAAAUUUCAAGUUGAAAGAUGGAAAGGGAUUUCAUGGGUUUGAAUUCAAAAGAUUUAAAGGUCAUGGUCAAAGAUGAAGCUGUUGAUGUAUGCAAAGAAUCGGGGGUCGUAUGA